CAAGGCUGCUCAUGCAAGAUGUAGCUGGCAGGUACAGUAUGCCUCCAGGUUGGGGCAAGCUGAUGAAAAAUCACCUUGCAAAACACAAAGCAACCUUCUAAGGCAUGCCUUUGAACAGAGUAGUUAACAAUAAGUAGCUUUUCCCUGUCCUUUGUUUGUUUAACCACUGUAUGCUAUUUAUUGCAGGAGUGAUUCGUGAGAGUUACCUGAAGGGUCACGAUCAGCUGGUGCCGGUCACCCUGUUGGCCAUUGCUGUUAUUCUUGCUUUUGUCAUGGGGGCCGUCUUUUCGGGCAUCAUUGUGUACUGCAUCUGCGACCACCGCCGCAGAGAUGUGGCUGUUGUGCAGAGGAAGGAGAAGGAACUGACCCACUCCCGCCGUGGCUCCAUGAGCAGCGUUACCAAGCUCAGUGGCCUCUUUGGGGACGCUCAGUCCAAGGAGCCAAAGCCUGAAGCUAUCCUCACACCUUUGAUGCACAAUGGCAAGCUGGCUACCCCAGGUAGCACUGCCAAGAUGCUAAUCAAAGCUGACCAGCACCAUCUGGACCUGGCUGCCCUGCCAACCCCUGAGUCCACCCCAACCCUGCAACAGAAGAGAAAGCCCAGCCGUGGCAGCAGGGAAUGGGAGAGAAACCAGAACCUCAUCAAUGCCUGCACGAAAGAUAUCCCCCCAAUGGCCUCUCCUGUGAUCCCAACUGACCUGCCGCUCAGGGCUUCUCCUAGCCACAUUCCCAGCGUUGUGGUCCUGCCCAUAGCCCAGCAAGGCUACCAGCAUGAGUACGUUGACCAGCCAAAAAUGAGUGAUGGGGCUCAGAUGCCUGUGGAGGACCAGAACGCCACCCUUGAGUACAAAACAAUCAAGGACCAUCUCAGUAGCAAAAGCCCCAGCCAUGGGGUUAACCUGGUGGAAAAUCUUGACAGCAUGCCACCAAAAGUACCCCAGCGGGAAGCUUCCCUCGGGCCCCCGAGCGCCUCAUUGUCACAGAGUGGCCUGAGUAAGCGGCUGGAGAUACAUUCUUCUGCUUACAACGUGGACUACAAGAGAAGCUACCCUACAAACUCGUUCACAAGAAGCCACCAGACGUCGACCCUCAAAAGAAACAAUACUAACUCUUCUAACUCGUCCCACCUCUCCCGCAAUCAGAGCUUUGGCCGAGGCGACAACCCGCCGCCAGCCCCACAGCGAGUGGACUCCAUACAGGUCCAUGCUGCCCAGGCACAGGCUGUGACUGUAUCUCGGCAGCCAAGUCUUACCACCUACAAUUCGCUGACGAGGUCAGGGUUGAAACGCACGCCCUCGCUAAAGCCAGAUGUACCUCCCAAACCUUCCUUUGCUCCACUCUCCACGUCCAUGAAGCCCAACGAUGCAUGUACAUAA